ACCCAAUAGAUACCCUGGUAGUCCCAGCCGUAAACUAUGCUCGCUAGGUGUCAGGCAUGGCGCGACCGUGUCUGGUGCCGCAGGGAAGCCGUGAAGCGAGCCACCUGGGAAGUACGGCCGCAAGGCUGAAACUUAAAGGAAUUGGCGGGGGAGCACAACAACGGGUGGAGCCUGCGGUUUAAUUGGACUCAACGCCGGACAACUCACCGGGAACGACAGCAAUAUGUAGGCCAGGCUGAAGACCUUGCCUGAAUCGCUGAGAGGAGGUGCAUGGCCGUCGCCAGUUCGUACUGUGAAGCAUCCUGUUAAGUCAGGCAACGAGCGAGACCCGUGCCCACUGUUACCAGCAUAUCCUCCGGGAUGAUGGGUACUCUGUGGGGACCGCUGAUGUUAAAUCAGAGGAAGGUGCGGGCUACGGUAGGUCAGUAUGCCCCGAAUUUCCCGGGCUACACGCGGGCUACAAUGAAUGGGACAAUGGCCCUACCCUGAAAAGGGUUGGUAAUCUCACAAACCCAUCCGUAGUUCGGAUUGAGGGCU
rnacentral:rRNA from 1 species